UGGGGAAUAUUGCACAAUGGGCGAAAGCCUGAUGCAGCAACGCCGCGUGAGUGAUGAAGGCCUUCGGGUUGUAAAGCUCUGUCUUUUGGGACGAUAAUGACGGUACCAAAGGAGGAAGCCACGGCUAACUACGUGCCAGCAGCCGCGGUAAUACGUAGGUGGCAAGCGUUGUCCGGAUUUACUGGGCGUAAAGGAUGCGUAGGCGGAUUUUUAAGUGAGAUGUGAAAACCCUAAGCUUAACUUGGGGACUGCAUUUCAUACUGGAAAUCUAGAGUGCGGGAGAGGAGAAUGGAAUUCCUAGUGUAGCGGUGAAAUGCGUAGAGAUUAGGAAGAACACCAGUGGCGAAGGCGAUUCUCUGGACCGUAACUGACGCUGAGGCAUGAAAGCGUGGGUAGCAAACAGGAUUAGAUACCCUGGUAGUCCACGCCGUAAACGAUGAGUACUAGGUGUAGGAGGUAUCGACCCCUUCUGUGCCGCAGUUAACACAAUAGGUACUCCGCCUGGGAAGUACGAUCGCAAGAUUAAAAACUCAAAGGAAUUGACGGGGUCAUAGCUG
rnacentral:rRNA from 1 species